AUGUCUUCACUAUUAUUCUACAAUGUAGAAAAUAGUACUAUUUAAGAAAAACCCUGGAAUGAGUAGGUGUGUCCAAACUUUUUACUGGUACUGUAAAUAUACAGUGCAUUCGGAAAGUAUUCAGACCCAUUGACGUUUUCCACAUUUUGUUACAUUACAGCCUUAUUCUAAAAUGUAUUAAAUCGUUUUUUUCCCUCAUCAAUCUACACAAAACAAUCCAUAAUUACAAAGCAAAAACAGGUUUUUAGAAUAAAAUAAUUCACAUUUACAUAAGUAUUCAGAACCUUUACUCAGUACUUUGUUGAAGCACAUUUGGCAGCGGUUACAGCCUUGAGUCUUCUUGGGUAUGACGCUACAAGCUUGGCACACCUGUAUUCUUCUCUGCAGAUCCUCUCAAGUUCUGUCAGGUUGGAUGGGGAGCGUCGCUGCACAGCUAUUUUCAGGUCUCUACAGAGAUGUUUGAUCAGGUUCAAGUCCGGGCUCUCUCUGGGCCACUCAGGGACAUUCAGAGACUUGUCCCGAAGCCCUGCUGCGUUGUCUUGGCUGUGUGCUUAGGGUCAUUGUCCUGUUGGAAGGUGAACCUUCGCCCCAGUCUGAGGUCCUGAGCGCUCUGGAGCAGGUUUCAUCAAGAAUCUCGCUGUACUUAACUCUGUUCAUCUUUCCCUCUAUCCUGACUAGUCUCCCAGUCUCCGCCGCGGAAAGACAUCCCCACAACAUGAUGCUUUCACCACCAUGCUUCACCGUAGGGAUGGUGCCAGGUUUCCUCCAGACGUGACGCUUGGCAUUCAGACCAAAGAUUUCCAUCUUGGUUUCAUCAGACCAGAGAAUCUUGUUUCUCAUGGUCUGAGAGUCCUUUAGGUGCAUUUUGGCAAACUCCAAGCGGGCUGUCAUGUGCCUUUUACUGAGUGGCCUCCAUCUAGACACUCUACCAUAAAGGCAUGAUUGCUGGAGUGUUGCAGAGAUGGUUGUCCUUCUGGAAGGUUCUCCCAUCUCCACAGAGGAACUCUGGAGCUCUGUCAGAGUGACCAUCAGGUUCUUGGUCACCUCCCUGACCAAGACCCUUCUUCCCCGAUUGCUCAGUUUGGCCGGGUGGCCAGCUCUAGGAAGAGUCUCGGUGGUUCCAAACUUCUUCCAUUUAAGAAUGAUGGAGGCCACUGUGUUCUUGGGGACCUUCAAUGUUGCAGACAUUUUUUGGUACCCUUCCCUAGAUUUGUGCCUCUACACAAUCCUGUCCCGUCGACCUCAUGGCUUGGUUUUUGCUCUGACAUGCACUGUCAACUGUGGGACCUUAUAUAGACAGGUGUGUGCCUUUCCAAAUCAUGUCCAAUCAAUUUAAUUUACCACAGGUGGACUCUAAUCAAGUUGUAGAAACAUCUCAAGGAUGAUCAAUGGAAUCAAGUUGCACCUGAGCUCAAAUUUCCAGUCUCAUAGCAAAGGGUUUGAAUAGUUAUGUAUAUAAGGUAUUUCUGUUUUUAAUUUUUCAUAAAUUAGCAAAAAUUCUUAAAACCUGUUUUCGCUUUGUCAUUGUGAGGUAUUGUGUGUAGAUUGAUGAGUGAAAAAUGUAAUCAAUUUUAGAUUAAGGCUGUAACGUAACAAAAUGUGGUCACCGUAACGGUUAUUAUGGUAACCAUGUCAUUUGGCUGACCAAUAACCGUCAUCCAUAAUUCCAUGACCAUGUUAAUUAAGGAGCACUUAGGAAUGUACCGUAGCCACCUUGCUAUGUGGUUAGAUAUAGAGGAUACUAUAAGGAUACUGUGAGAGGAAACGGAAAAUGUAACGACUGCUUUGAGUGUGUGUAUACAUACACACGAACGUGCAGAUGAACAGACUUACAUGAGGCGUAGGCCUAGUGUAGAUUCUUGGUGUGGAUGUAAAGGCCCGCUGUUUCUAACAGUGCGUAUAGUGUGUAGAUGUGGUUCCAACUCAGUGUGUAUAUUAACCUCUAGAGAUGGAGAUAAUUGCAUCUGUCAGAGUCGUUUAGUCACUGUUGAUGCUGUCGCCUGCCCCCUCUGGGCCCAGCCUCUCUACAGCUCUAUGUUUUAAUAGGAAAUGGCUGCUGAGCAAUGUUGUUAGCAGGGAAGUCACCACUAACUAACACCGGCACAACACUAACCUACCAAUACUAACUACUUAUCCCUGUUGGUAUUGUGACAGACCUUUCUAAAAAUCUAAUUUGUGGUUGUGAGGUCGGAUGUGAUUUGUCCAACUGUGGUCUACAGGACUUUGACAUGUUUCACCUUCUAGAGACCCAUUUUGGGGACCCAGGUGAGGAAAAUACCGUGCCUGAAUAUUCUGUUGUUGUUGACCCGAUUAAAUGUUGUUGUAUGUUUCAGGAGGAAUAUGAGGAGGACAAAGAGGACGAUUCUGUCAAAGAGGAAACGACAGAGCACGAAUUCCCAACUGAAACAAAAACAACAGUUUUACCAUAUCUUGAGCACAAUAAUCAAAUGUUAGUGGUCACCGGAUGGUCAGUGUCAUCAAUUCCACUUGAAAGAUCUGUAGGUAACAGGACAGUCUGUAGUGUCUCACCGUUUUACUGCCAUUGCCGCUCAUCUCUAGCCUGGUCCCAGAUCUGUUUGUGCUUUCUUGCAGCUAAUGUCUACACAACCACAAGACGGCCCAAACAGAUCUGGGACAAUGCUAACUCAUCUUUUCUCUUCAGUAAGAUAUGGGACAGAGCACAGAGGUACUACCCACAUUAGUUUUGUAGCCAGAGGAACAGUAUAUGUUGGUGAACAGGAUGUAUUUGGUUAUCUUUUAGAGGGAAUAGUAUGUAUUUUCAAACGGGACAGGGCUGAACCCUCACACUCGCUAUGGUAAAUGGAAUGUCAAUGUAGGUUUUAUCAUAUAAGUAUACAAUCUAGAAUCUAUUCUAGGUUAUAUAUUCUAAAAUGUAUUUCUAUGGUUUGUAUUUAAAGAACUUAAUGAAAAAGCACAUCAAUGUAUUCUGACAGAGAAGGUUUUCAGGGGCAUCAAAUAAAUAUAAAACCCAGGGAAAGUGCCUGGUUGGACCAGACCAGUCAGACUGUUAAAGGAUAUGUACCUGCUUGAUGUUUUUUAUGAACUUGACCAACCAAACAUUUUCCCUCAGAUCUAUUUCAUACACUAAUCAGAAUACAGUAUGAUGUUCUCAGUAAUCUGGGAUCUUGCUAGAUCUUCAAUGCCCGGUUUACAUACACUGUAUGUUAAGUAUUCAGCGGUGUCGAGUAUUUCUUAUACAAUCUCUCAUCACCGUUGAAUUGAAACAUUAUUUGUCAUACAGGUCUUGUAUCACUUUUUUUUUGGUGCUUAGUGGUCUUCUCUCUAUCAAUUGUCAUGACCUCUUUUUAAUGAGUUUGGUUUUAUAUUUGUAUGCAUUUAUGUUCAUACUGUCUGACAUGUCAGUAACCUUAUACUAAUGACGUGGCCUGUUGGUAGCACAAUCCAUUUGACGUGAGCGAUCCUCUUUGUUUGUGGCAGCACUACAAGUCAAAGGAAACAAAUACAAUUUGUUUUUAGUAGGAUUUCUUAGGCUUUUAACACAGGCUGUCUAGAAACUACAAUCCAAGUCAACGCAUUUUGCCUUUGAUUUGCCUGUUUAAGUGCUACCAAUGUAUUAUUCUAAUGUUUUUCACAUUAACUCAACAAGGAAAAUGUCAUUUUUGGGGGGGGGGGGUUUCCUGGGGGGAUAUGCAUUUGCUAAGAGUAUGUAUUUAGGUACUUUGGAAAUGUUUAAAUGCCAAUAAACUUAAUUUCCACAAAUA